UUCACCAUCCAUUACAAGUGUGUGACAGGUUCCGGACGGGUUGAGAGGGGAGAACAAUGUGUUGUGACCCUCAGUACCGCCCUCCAGCUCAGCGCCUGGCUUCAGCUCCUUCUCCCAGCAGGCCGUGGGGGGCCUGGCCGCCGCCCCUCUGCCUCCCCUCUCCCUCUCCCCCGCCUCCACCACCACCACCACCACCACCACCACCAGAAUCAAUCGCUCUGCGACACCAUACAAACGAUCCACUGAAGUCCAUGCAUCACAGUACAGUGCACCACCAACAAUGACCAGCCAUGUGGCUCAGCAGUGAGAGAGAAUAAGAUGGAGAGUUAUUACGGUGAAGAGGGGGGAACUGUGACGGGAGACCACUUCCUCUGACAUCAGGACGAGGCCAUAAAGUCCGGAUUAACUGGCGACAGGACUGUUCACUCUGAGUGAUACCUCGGCAUGGAAAGUAUGACAAAACUGUCAGUUUAAUACUUAUCCAGGGAGUCAUGUGAACAGUAAGUUCUCUCUCUAAUUUCCCCACUCAAUGACUUUAUGAGUGAACAGGUAAUGCAUCAUUCUUCUCAUUGACUAAUGUUCUGGUUCAUUUUGUCCUUUCCGCUUCUCCAUCGCCCGCCGUGCAACACUGAUUAAUGCCAUCACAGCAAAUUAGAUAGCCGAGGAACAACAUGUUUAUCAUUUUCAAGCAUUAAGAAAAGUACUUUCUUGCUUCGUUUCCUUCAGCACAUUCAAAGCAGUGGCCACAUCAAGGUGAUGUAUGCAUGCACAGCACAGAGAGGAAAUAUUAAUUGGAAUGUAGGCAGAGUUGUGGCCUCUCUUUUAAAGGUUGUUAGACAGAGGACGAGGGCUGAGGGUAACCUACGUACUGACGCUGUUCUUUGCUGUGCACUCAAAGAGAAACUGACUUUGAAUGGAAAACGUUUUCACUGAGCCUCUGCUGAAAGUGCAAAUGUUAAAUGUCAGAACACAGUUGUCUUCUUGAUCGCUUGUAGCAUCAAGAGGUAUUUCAAAAGCAUACUUGAACUCCAACUAAGCUGGCUGAGUCUCCAGAGCUGUGUUCAAGACUUGCAGUUCACUGAACCCGUUUUGUUGCUGCAUCCACAGGGUGAAAGUAGAAUGAUUUACGAGUGAAACACCCAGUGUAGCCUUUGCAUAGUGACGAUGAAGUGUUUGGCACAGCAAUUUUUUAGGUAACCUACACCAUUGUCUUUAAUAACUCAUCAUCUUUGGCUAAUUGUUUUCACAUUUCACAUUGACUUCUGAUUCAGUAUUCACUGUCAUCAUACAGUUUUAUGCCUGGAGGAGGGAAAAUAAGCUGUAAAUACAACAUACUGAUAUUAUCAUUCUACAAAGUUGUGGUGAAAAAGACCCUUUUUAUACAUCCAGCACACACACUGACUAAUUUCAGUAUUUGUUUCAUGCUUCCUGCCAUCUGGCAAAUAAUAAUCCAACAUUCACUUUUAUUUUUGCUCCGUUUUGAUCUCCACCAUCGUGUGACACUUGGAUAAUUAGCCACUAAACUGCUAAAGCUUCACUGUUUAGCCGCUAGUUGAUAAAGAAGUACUGAGGGCUGUUGCUGUAGUUUUAUUGUUAAUUUGUUUGUUUUUGCAAGUAUGUUAAGCUAGUUUGAGACCAGACUCUUGGCUGAUUCAAGCACAGCCCUAAAAUCAAAACAGUUAGCUUAAAGACAGUACCAUUCGGUCAUAGAUCUGUGUUAAGGUAUUUGAGCCACUGCUUGUAUGUAAAUACUGCCUAGUGCAGCUUUAACGUUAACGUAUUUUAAUUUUUUAUUAUAUUCUUGUGUUACAUUUUUAUCCAGAAGGUAUUCUGCUGUGCUGCUCUUUAUGAAUGGAGGGUCUAACCAUGUAACCAGGACUGCAUUUGAAAACUCGAAAAGCACUCAGAGAGCACAGUACUCCACCAAGGCUGUCCAUUCCCCCAUGUGGCAUUGUCAGACAUGCGGCUUUUUUUUUUUUUUUGACAUGCAGCAUUUCCUUAUUGGUUAUUAAUGAUCAGAAAUCAUGGAAACACAGAAUGUGACCAUUUAACAUAGUUGUACCCACAAACAAAAUGACCUUGCACUGAACACAGGCGUGCGUUCAGCUCAUGUAAGUUAUGCACGGAUACUGAAUCGCAUGACCUUAAUAUGUAGCGGGCUGCGGGAAUUGAUGGGAGUUGGAAACACCACCACAAUUUAAUCAGUUGUUCCUUGUAUCAUUUCAAACUGAUAAGUUCCGAUAAGUCUGCAGUGGUGGAUUAGUAGUAGGAUCACAAUCAUGUGAUCAUCAGCAAGCAGCUAAUGUAGUGUUCACUUGUUGUCAUAGUUAUAGUGACGCCGUGCCACAAUGAGGUGUUCACAAUGACACAGAAAUCUUUAACAAAUCCAUGGAUCCAGACUAUAAGCAGCAUCACGGCCAAACUCUAAUCACUUGAUCCUUGUGUCAUUUCUGACAGUCCCUGAAAAUUUAAUCCAGAUCUGCAAUUUUGCAAACAGACAGAGAGACAGAGACAGACAGACAGACAGACAGACAGACAGACAGACAGACACCAGUCGUCACAUAACUCUGCCACGUUCCUUGGCGGAGUAAUUACCCAGUUGGUUAAUACUGGCAAAUUCACAGAAAUGUUGAUUUGAGUGCAUUUACCUCAUAAAUGAAUACAUGAAAUGACCCUAAACAUGGCUACCACUUCAGUUUUCACCUGUUUGUUUCACCCUUCCUAAAUAAGCAACUAUGAUGUUGUGCAAGAGCAUCGUGAAAAUCUUGAUGGGCCAUUGAGUUACAAUAGCAGCCUCAGGUAUUGACAGAAAGAGAGCAAGCGCUCAGAUAUUCUCAUAUCAUUUUCAUCCUCAUACCAUGCUGAGAACGUAGCCUGGCAUUGGUAUGUUCUUACCCAAUGUUCCCUCUCUCGGGCUGUAUAUCACAUCAUAAAGAAUACAUGAACCCCUUCUCCAAAAAAACCUACCCAGUCUCCAAGGCAUCAGUGCCUAGCCCUGUUCUCUAACUCUGAACAGAAAGAGCCGAAACAAAGAACUUUCCUUAGAAAGAAAAAGAAGAAAAACAACAUUGCUCAAAAAAAUUGAGAGACAAUGCUAAUAACUGUAAAAUAUGAAUGGUGACUUGACAUAUUUACAAAUGCGCUGCGAGGCGCCCUACUAAAUGUGAUAAAAUGGGAAACCAAUGGCAUGGAAGAAAGCGGUUGUGGGCCCCCAUCUCUCGCCAUUAGAUGUUCAGUGGAAGCUGUCAACAGAAGGCGCAUUUGCCUGCCAAGCUCCCUCUCUGACUGAGCUCUCUGCCUGCAGCACGCCCCAAGCUCCUCUUUGACUCAAAGGGUUCAUUUCACUUCUUUUAGCCUCAUUCGCAUGUGGUGCUACACAAAAACCCGGCUCGCUCGUAGCCUGCCUCUUCUGUGUGAGUCUGUGCAAAGUGUCUGUCUGCGUGUGCGUGUUACUGUGCGUGUGUGUCUGAGAUUCUUCUUGCGUUUGUGUAUGUGUGUGUGUGUGUGUGUGUGUGUGUGUCUGUGUGUGGGCGAGUGUGUGUGACUUUUGCACAUGCGAGUGUGUAAAUCACAAGGUGAUGCCAGGAUCCUCACUAUUGCACUGACGGCCAUAAAGCAGCAGUGACAGGAACAAGGAAAGAGUCCGGCAUCACACAUUUUCUAGAGCUGCUUCAGCACACUGAAGCCUUUUUACAGAAGAAACACCGUCAACUUGUUUUUGCUUUGAUAUCUUUUAAUUAUAUCACAAGCUGAAAAUACCUAUUUAGUGUAUUUUUAUACUCAUCUUCCUCUGUGUGGAGCAAAUGUUUCUGGUGGGGGAUUCUUUGGGAGUCCUGAGUCCUCACACUGGGACACACAGCUUUUCUCUAGUGUUUGAUUUUUGGAGUGUUUUGCAUCUUCACCCUUUGAAAAAAAACUAAACACUGAGUCACUUUGUACAAUCACAAGUCACUGAUUUCAGGUUGGUUAUGGUGUACAAAGGGCAAGAGUGUGACCCUGGAGACGUCAGUUUGAAUCUCAUGCUAUAAGGUUUUGUUAUGAGGACACAGAGGAAGAUUUUUGGAGAAUUUAAGUUAGAUUGAUGCCUUUUAAUUAAAUAUUUAAGAUAUCCCAUGGUCUUUCUCUAACCUGAGACAAAAUAAACACAUUUCCAGUAAAUGUUCACUGUGCAGUUUUGUGCAGGUAUGGUAAUUUAAAUGUUUCUUCACUGUGCACAUAAAAAGAUGUAAUUUUAAUUCACAAAACAUACUUAAUAUUGCAAAUAAGCUUACUUUUUUGAGGGAGAUUUUUUUUAUGCUAUUUAUCAAACAAAUCUGUUCCAAGCUACAGUUGUUUUGUUGUUCUGCAGAUCAGAGUAAACUCUUGAGCUGAACUCCAUUCCGGAAAUAUUUCUGCUAAUAAAAAGUGAAAGUAAAACCAGGAGCUGCUGAUUUGUCUUCAUGAAAAGAAGAAGAAUUACAGUCACUGUGGGACAUCACCCUAUUUCAAAUAUUAAUAUAAGUUGGAGAAAUGAUCGCCUUUUUAAAUUAAAAAUGUCAGCGGUAAAAACUAAUGAGCCUGUACUUUUGCACAUGAAACAAACAUUUUUUCUCCUGACUCGAUAACACCGUGGCUGUCCUCUGGCCAGUCUCUUUGACUAGCAGCCCAAGGGUCAGACCAGUGGAGUGGAAGUUGAAGAGGGCUGUUUGAACGUAAUAGGUUUUGACUGGCAUGUGUUACACGCUUCACUGCACCAUUGAUUGAGCGCUUGUUUGCUAAAUCACUGCUGGUUUCCCUCUGUCUGGUCGGCCUGUGACACGUGUGGUGUGUGGUCACUUCGACUCGGAGACGGAAUGCAGCAGGCCGGCUGCAACUCUGGCGACCAGAACGAGGCACGAGUCAAAGACGGGGAGACAUGCUUUUUACAGCUUGGAGGACGUGGCAGUGGAGGGAGGCUGGUGUCACGGGUUAAUGUCACCCAGGCAGCCUUCGACUGACGUGGCUCACCGACAUGAGACCUCCCAGUUUCUGUUGCUUCCUUCGAAUCUUUCUUCUGGUGUCACCUCCUCUGGUUGCCAGUUUUAAUCACAAACAAACAAACAAACCUUCCUUUAAUUGUGGUGGGGAAAAAAGCUGAAAGCCUAUCCAGCGCCUGGAGUUCUCUCCUCCGUCUUGGGAAGGCUUGGCGAGUAAACAGUGUCUUUGCUGAUUACAACGCCUCUCUCUCUGCAGCCCAAGGAGCUGUCUGCAAGGCCUCGCUUUUAUCUUUUCCACCAACCAUACUGCCGGACAGAACCAUCAGUAUUACACGAUUCUGCAAAACCCAGGACGACGCACAAGAUGGAAAUGGUCACAACAGCAUAGAAUGGGCAAGUAGGUGACACAUUCAUGACCUGGUAAAAGGCGAGCAACGGAUCUGUGAUUUCAGGACAACAUAUCAUCAUCACAAUGUCUCAGAUGCAAAAGG